GACAGCAGCCGCCGCGGGAAUACGAAGGGUGCAAGCGUUACUCGGAAUUACUGGGCGUAAAGCGUGCGUAGGUGGUGGUUUAAGUCCGUUGUGAAAGCCCUGGGCUCAACCUGGGAAUUGCAGUGGAUACUGGAUCACUAGAGUGUGGUAGAGGAUAGUGGAAUUUCCGGUGUAGCAGUGAAAUGCGUAGAGAUCGGAAGGAACAUCUGUGGCGAAGGCGACUAUCUGGGCCAACACUGACACUGAGGCACGAAAGCGUGGGGAGCAAACAGGAUUAGAUACCCCAGUAGUCCCUGUCUCUUAUAA
rnacentral:rRNA from 1 species